AAUAGAUACCCGGGUAGUCCACGCCGUAAACGAUGAGUGCUAAGUGUUAGAGGGUUUCCGCCCUUUAGUGCUGCAGCUAACGCAUUAAGCACUCCGCCUGGGGAGUACGGUCGCAAGACUGAAACUCAAAGGAAUUGACGGGGGCCCGCACAAGCGGUGGAGCAUGUGGUUUAAUUCGAAGCAACGCGAAGAACCUUACCAGGUCUUGACAUCCUCUGACAACUCUAGAGAUAGGGCGUUCCCCUUCGGGGGACAGAGUGACAGGUGGUGCAUGGUUGUCGUCAGCUCGUGUCGUGAGAUGUUGGGUUAAGUCCCGCAACGAGCGCAACCCUUGAUCUUAGUUGCCAGCAUUUAGUUGGGCACUCUAAGGUGACUGCCGGUGACAAACCGGAGGAAGGUGGGGAUGACGUCAAAUCAUUAUGCCCCUUAUGACCUGGGCUACACACGUGCUACAAUGGAUGGUACAAAGGGCUGCAAGACCGCGAGGUCAAGCCAAUCCCAUAAAACCAUUCUCAGUUCGGAUUGUAGGCUGCUAACCG
rnacentral:rRNA from 1 species